rnacentral:rRNA from 1 species
ACUACACCUAAACCGAUAGUGCACAAGUACCGUGAGGGAAAGUUGAAAAGAACGCUGGUGAAGCGAGUGAAAUAGAACCUAAAAUCAUAAACCUACAAGCGGUGGGAGGCCUAUGCAUGGCGCAAGCCAUGAAUGGCUGACCGCGUACCUUUUGCAUAAUGGUCCGACGAGUUACUGUGCGGUGCAAGCUUAAGGCUUUUAUUGAGCCGAAGGCGCAGCGAAAGCGAGUCCUAACCGGGCGAUUUAGUACCGUAUAGUAGACCCGAAGCUGAGUGAUCUACCCAUGGUCAGAGUGAAGUUCCCCGAAAGGGGAAUGGAGGCUCGAACCCAUCAGCGUUGAAAAACUGUGGGAUGAACUGUGGGUCGGAGCGAAAGACUAAACAAACUCAGAAAUUGCUGGUUCUCCCCGAAAUAUUUCUAGGGAUAGCCUCGGACUAUUAAAUAGUAGGGGUAGAGUACUGAAUGGGUUACAGAGCCUUACCGGGUUACUGAACCCAACCAAACUCCGAAUACCACGGCGCCAUAUUCCAGGAGUCAGCCCGUGCGGGAUAAACUGCACGGACGCGAGGGAAACAACCCAGACCGUCGGCUAAGGUCCCAAAGGGUGUGCUAAGUGUUAAAGGAUGUUGGGUUGCAUAGACAACCGGGAUGUUGGCUCAGAGGCAGCCAUCAUUUAAAGAGUGCGUAACAGCUCACCGGUCGAGCGAUCCAGCGCCGACAAUGAUAGGGGCUCAAGCACAUCACCGAAGCCGCGGAUGGUCUUGGCAUUCGUGCCAGGAUCGUGGUAGGGGAGCGUUCCGCGUUAGGUUGAAGGCGACGCUGUUAGGCGCGCUGGACGAAGCGGAAGUGAGAAUGCCGGUAUGAGUAGCGAUAAGCACCGCGAGAAACGGUGCCGCCGUAAGCCUCAGGGUUCCUGGGGAAGGUUAAUCCACCCAGGGUGAGUCGGUCCUAAGCUUAGGCCGAAAGGCGUCAGCGAUGGACAUGCCGUUAACAUUCGGCAACCACUGGGCAGGCGUUUGACUGACGUUGAGGACGCAGGAAGCUAGGCCAUCCGGGUAUUGGACGUCCCGGUCCCGGCAUACAGCCGUAAGGCAAGGUGCCGGGGGAGACGAGGCGACAGCCGAGUUAAACUGGUUGAGGCUAUGCUGCCAAGAAAAUUCAUCGUCGGAAGUCUGUUCAGUGCCCGUACCGUAACCCGACACAGGUAGGCGGGGAGAAAAUCCCAAGGCGUUCGAGAGAACCCCCCUUAAGGAACUCGGCAAACUCGCCCCGUAACUUCGGGAUAAGGGGUGGUCGCCGGGGUGUCAAAGCCCUGGUGACCCACAGUAAAGAGGAUCAGCCGACUGUUUAGUAAAAACACAGGUCACUGCAAAGUCGUAUUGACGACGUAUAGUGACUGACACCUGCCCAAUGCUGGAAGGUCAAGAGGAGGCGUCAUCCGUAAGGUGAAGCGCCGAAUUCAAGCCCCAGUGAAUGGCGGCCGUAACUAUAACGGUCCUAAGGUAGCGAAAUUCCUUGUCGGGUAAGUUCCGUCCUGCACGAAUGGCGUAACGACUUCCCCGCUGUCUACAGCAUAGGCUCAGUGAAACUGAAUACCCCGUGAA